rnacentral:rRNA from 1 species
GCGGGCGCACGUACUCCAAAAGGGGUUAGGCGUGGGACGCAAGGGGUCGGUUAGGUAGGAGCGGAGCAGGGUGAGGGCGUGGUCGGUGGCGGGUUUGGGAUCGGGGGAAAGGGGAGCUAGGGGUGUUGGAGAGGGCGGAGAUAGGGAGGAGGAGCGCAGUGGUGCCGGAGGCGGGGCCUCGGAGCGGCGGCGGACUAUUAUGAGGAGGUGGUACGAUCGGGGAGGUGGAGUGGAAGGAAGAAAAACAAUAGACGCGGGCAGUAGCUACGGACCAAGGUCUAGCCCGCGCCCAAUCUGCUCCAGCUACCACCCCACUUACCCGUCCGCCCCCUGCUCCCGUCCGUUGUCAGCCGGGCAGCGCUACACCACUUCGAUGUCCCUUCUCCCUCCUCCAGCCGCUGUCCCACUUCCUCGUUCGGCCAGGGGUACCUCCGUCGCGAUGGUCGGUCGAUCCCUCCGCCAGGCCGAGCGGAGACGAUACGGCACUCGCCGCCGCGAUGGAGACGGAGGUCGGAGUGGAGGAGACGGUUGGUACCCUUUUAAAACCCCUCUGGGUUCCACUCGAAGGGGAGGCAACGUACUGGGUUCUUAUUAUUAAGUUCACCUACCGGAUACGCAGAACAACAAAUCGCCAUACUACCAGCCACUUUCAUACAAGAUAUAUAUAACGUUCCUAGUAUUCUACGAAAAUUUGUACUAACACACUACGAGUCUCUGUAAAACGUGUCAUCUUUGAAGAACACUUCGAACUAAAAUAAGUCUCGGUAUACUAAAAAAAUAUCUUUGUACUCGUCUCAUUUUACCUGUGUCGAAGACCAUGUAGACUCCUGUCACACUAAAGAAAAGAAUCUUACAACAGUAGAUAUAGAACGACUUCAUGUCUUGAUAACGUGGCUGCUGGUGUUACCCUACCUAGUUCGUCGGUUCUGAGUCACCAGCUGUCACGCUGAGAAGGUCGUGACUUCAAUACAGAAAACCCGGUUAAAGUUAACGGAGUGAUGGAGAUGUGUACCUAGGACAUCCAUAAAGGAUUACAUUCACAGUGACAAAAAGAAGAAAUACAUGGACCUGCCCUCACGAGUACUCCUACUGCUGUACGAUGACUUGAGUUUAAGUUUUUACUUCAACCCCCGGACCCCAAACCUCGGGGAGUCAUCUUCACGAGUCCGCCGUACAGUAUCAACAAACGACUAUUAAAUGGUUCUUGUUUAAAACGAACAGAGAUCGUAAUCCGAUACUCGGGAUUUCGUCAAGGUCACACUACUAGAUGGAGAACUGAUCCUUCCCCCCUAACUUUCUAUCGUGAACAGCAAACUUCGUUAAUCAUAACCUGAUAAACUCCUUCAUUUACAAAUUUGGUGAUUUGGAAUAUAAGAAAACAUUUUUCCUCCCACGUCUAUUUAUUCUCAACAACCGUCGUCGUUGGAUGUGUACACCUUUGUCACCGAUACCGCCGAGUUUCCCUUCAACACCGGCGAUCUGUCGUUGAGUGUUGAAUCACCGUCGAGUUUCAUGUACAUUAGAUAAAGAAGAACCUCGAUAGAUGAUAUUAUAAUAUGAUGAUAUCAUGUGCUAAAAAACUUAUAAACUUAGACGGGAGAAGAGAGAACAAAAUGGGCGGUGUAGGUUCUACCUUAGUAGACACCGGCAGUUGAAUAAUUUAGCUUACCGGACAUAGUGGGCCUAAGCAGUGGGUGCGUUAGGGCGGUUUGGACUUUUACUCGGCGCGAAGAUCUCUUGAGGUGCUGGGUGCCAUCGGAGGUCCGAGACCGUUUAGUUAAGGGGCGGUUGGAGGAGUGCGACUAGAAAGGGGACAUUAGACCUACGAGGCAUAGGUCAUAAGGUUAAAGAGAUCGGGCGCCCAGUGUGUGGUGGUCGAGGUAACCAGGUAGGGGGGCAGGUGUGUGGGUCGUACCGUCGUGGAGGCUUAGUGGAGGUGCAGGUCUAACGUAGAGGUCGGGACAGAGGAACGUCAGACACCGAACGAGGCUUUAAACAAACGCAGACCACUAAGGUCCGAGUCUCAUCAACCUGUAGGUAGAUGCCGGUCGACUGGUGUCCACGGCGACUAGUGUCCAACACCAACUUUUGUGAACCGAAUGUUUUAGUUCAUUUUAGCUGUUCUACCUUCCGGCCCAAGGUAAGUCUCUAUAAUGUUUACAAGUGGGUUGUUGAAGUGGUUUUUCCUUGAUGAGACAGCAACCUCUCGUCUUACUAGGAAAUCAACUUUGGUCUUUACGAUGCGUUUACUUAAGAAGGGUCGCAUUCGCAAUGGCACUGGCCCUAUCUAUGAACGUUUACUGAGGUAUAGUCUCCCUUCGGAUAAACGUUUCCUUAGCACUCAUGUUUUCUUACUCCGCACUCACGUCGCGUUCAACAUCGUUAUGUGUUGGUCGUGGGGUCGUCUUUUUAUGUUCUCGAUUAUUCUUGUAUACGUACUGUCCUUUCCUUCAGCACCGGUCAAGUUUGAUACUCUUCGUACUAAGCCAUAAAUGAGUUGACCCCAGAAGUAGUUUUCCUUUUGUUCACCGCCUACAACCACCAAGACCGUGUUCAGCAGGUUUUCGACCUUGAGCUAAGUGGUAGUCAGGUAGACCGUAUAUAAAUAGUAGUUAUAGGAACCUUCUAGUUCGACGUUUUAUACUUAACUUUUUACAUGCAGUCGCAUUCGCUGUAGUAACGCAGUUGUACGUGAGUCUUGACAGUGUACUAGUUCUUCUUUGUGUGCAUGUUCUCUAAACACCGGUAUUAUUUUCUGUCUCCGGUCUUUUUCUUUCAACAUCAUGACGUGCCCUAGCACCGUCUCUCUGGUUGUUGAACGUACUUCUGGAGUAAAUACACGGGGUCCUAAGAAAAGGACGGUAAGUACUUAUAGACCGUUUAUGACUUCUGAGGUAACUCAUGCUACUACACCUACUACUCUCAGAUUACAUAUUAUCUGGUACAGAACUGAAACUUAGUAUAGUUCUCGGUUUCGUACAGUGUUUUACGUAUGUUCGUCUAGGUAUACUAGUAUAUAUAGUAUUUAACGGGGCACCGAUAGUAAAAGAUCUCGCUCACGGGUUGACAUCUGUAACGUUACGCUUUUCCAAGGUUAUACUCUGCGGUUGUAAAACAACGUACUUACCUUUUCAUUUCUAUCAUUGGGGUCACCAAGGACUACUUAACGCAGUCAACAUGUACUCGGUCCUAGGUUUACGUUUUAUGAAGGUUCUAGUAUAUGCCACGAAGUUAAGAGUAAAGAGAAAAUGGAGAGAACCACACUAGGACCUGGCUUCUAAGACGUUAUCCUCCAAACCUCAUAUGUGGAAAACGCGUGUCCCGGUUUAAAUAGUGGCAUAACUGGUCAACCAAGGUUUUCUUCUACCGGGGUUCGUAAAUGUCAAUAUGAAGAUACUGUGCCUACGUCUAAACGUUGUUUCUAAAGAAGUGAGCGGUUUGGAACUGGUUUGAGACUAGGCCUUCAACCACUUAUAUGAAAGUUCAUUAGGAAUACGUGUUUAUAAAUCUUUGGAACCAAGAUAAGGUUUGGAACUACUUAUAUUAUAACUCGAAUUGUGUUUAUAACGGAAUCUAGUUUCUCAUAUAUUACGAGACUGUUGUAGUGUUCAUCGUCGUUAAACCCAGCUCCCUUUAUUAGGAGCUUCAAUAAAACUGUCCUCAUAGUACCAAAUGCCAUUUAGCCUAUUUGGUGUUAUGUAUUUUCGUAUGGUACCAACGAUACUAGGUAACAGCAUAGGUGAAAAAAAGGGCUUACCCCUUCAACCUACCUUGGACUUAAAUGGUUUUCAACGAGGGGUACCAUUCUCCUUCUCUUUACUAGUUCGUUUACGAGAGUCACUUCUUCCUCACCUUUUCUCGAGACCAAGAACACAUAGUGGUUCCCUUAUAAUAACAAUAUUCAAUGUUUAUAUUCUACCGCUCAAGUUGCAGAAUGAUAAACCUUUCUCUAAUUGAGUUGUCAUAUAACAACUAUACAUGUAGUUCUAACUUAGUUAUUCCAACCGAAAGAUAAAUGUUGGCAGUUGAGUCCAAGAGUAUGCACGUCUAAAUAUAGUUCCUAACCAACUAUCACAACAUCGGCCACUCUGUGCACGUACGUACUGACCUUUCGCAUAACACGAGGGGAGCUUUAAAUAACCUCCUGGUUCUCUGUACGCAGCUUCCAUAGAUCUACGUUACCGUAACCAGGUUUCCAAACCUUUCGGUCUGAAUAAGUAAUGUUACUGAACGUUGGGCGUUACCCUUCUCUAUUGAUCUCUCGACCUUGGUCCAGUUAGCGGUGUUCUAGCAGGUCUAAACCAUCGUACCCAGAAGUUCCGUUUCAACCUCCUAGAAUUUCUAAAAAAUAAGUUCUCCUUUAAUAAACCACUUCAACAACGUGUACAAGUACAUUAUCUUAAAAUCUUCUCUCCGGAUGGCGUACGUGUGAAGAAUUAAUAAAACUUCAGUUGAACGUUCUAAUGAUUAGGUCUAGUUAUGCUACUCUAUUAUAGUCGUCUCUAGGGUCUAUUUCUGUUUAUGGGACAUGACGUACGAAAUCAAUAAUUCGUGUACUACGUACCUGGUACGCCUCAAGAGUUGUCAUUCUCAUGAACGUACCUUUUACCUUCAACAUCUAUAGUAAUAGGUGCCUGUAAGAGUCUCUUUUGUGAUGUUCCUUUCCUGAGUAUAGGUUAAAUAUCUGCCUCCCUACUACCAACAGCUCAAGCGUAAUCCCCACGCCAGAACCUAUUAUCUACCCAACAAGGAAUAUCAGGUAUAGAUGAAUACGCUAUAUUAACGGUAUAUUUACAUCUUCAAACGAGAUCGUAAUUCCGGCAAUUUAUAAAUAAAUUUAUGUAGAUGUUUCCAGUACUAGCGCGUAGGAAACAGUAACUCAGGUCUCCUCUAUUACAACAAUAACUACUCUAAGCGCUUAUAUCCCUACGUUCCAAAUAUAGUGGAGGUCUCCGAUAUACCUCCUAAAUAAGAAAGUUAGAUUCACUCUACAGUGGAGAUCAAAACGUCAAUGUCCAGGUAAACGGUUUAUACGUAGAACACGUAAUACUUCUAAGACUAUUAAACCUAUCGCACAAUGCGUCUCUUAGUAGAAGUUUUUGUUACGAAUCACUUAUAAAAUCUUACUCAAGACAACUAUAAAAACGUUCCUUAAAGAACAUGUUCCUCAAAGGUCUUAUAAAACACACCCUAUCGUCAACGUUCUUAACCUCUGCAACGUUCGUCUUUGCUUAAGUCUAACCAUCUGAACACAGACGCGUGGGACGACUUCCUCUCGCAAUAAUAAACUCCUAUGAUGAUUUAGUGCACUCCCCUCGGUUUAGUAAACUCCUAGAUGCUUGACAACUAACACAAUAAAAGAGCUGUAAAUCUCUCCGAUGUGUCUCUUCCCCAGAGUAACUCCUACUUGCAUCAUAAAGACUAACAGAGUCGCUCCGACGCCGUAAAGUUUACGGUAGACGUGAAUCUUCUGAAAAACGUUGUUAAAAUCAAAAGACGCUCCAUUGUUUACAGGCACUUGACACCCUGUUCGUAAAACUUCGGUACCCACUACUAAAAGCUUCUCUUUUACAUUUACGACUUCAUUAACUAGUCUACCACGAAUUUCUAGAAUCUUCAAACAAUAUAAGUUACCCUUUCCUGUAUUUCUUGAAACUGAACGGGACGAAUAACCUACUAUUACUAAACCUCUCGAAUCUAACCUCUCUUAAUAUACUACUCUACAAAUAACUCCAACUCGUCCUUGUGAACCUAAACAUAUUGUUCGAUUUGUUACUCGUCGCUGAACGAAAACUACUCUAUUACUGAGUACAGAACGUGGUCUUCUCAUACCAAAAAAAAGUAUCUACCAGGCCCUCCAUGUCUUUUUUGCAUGGAAAUAUUCCGAAACGAGCGAUUUCACGCCAGCUACCCCGCUUAUCCAUAGCGUUGUCGUUGCAGUCCGUAACGACGCAGAUAGUACGGACCGCCAUCUUGUCGUGUAAGGUCCAAGUUUUAAGGGUAAUUAUAAGUCCUACUGUCGUACACGUUGAAGUCAUUUGUCUCACCUUGACGUCUUAAUGAGUUCUCCAGUAGAAAUUAUUAAACCCUGUUUCAACGAUACUGUUUCACAGUUCGACACCUCCGUGAACUAUCUAGGGACGCUCUAUAGUGGCCAACACCUAGUGGGAAACCUCCUUUUCAUCAUCACAAACCUCCACUAAAAUCUGUCCAAGAAGGUCACCACUCCGUACCGUGAUCUCGUGUUAAAUGUCUACGAUGUGAUUUCUUCAGAAUAGAAACCGUUCUGUAUUUUGUAUAGUUUGAAACCGCGUUAUACUCCCGAAACAAACUAGGUACCAAGAAACUAAAAGAGGAAUCUUAACCAUUGUCAUGUCUCCUUAGCUAACCAGUUCUUAUACACGCGGACGGACUUCUUUAACAAUAUCCAAUGUGCCUAAACUUUCGGAGACAAUCAUUCAAUUAACUACUGUAGAAAGGAGAUUACCUGUUUUUACCUUUGAGUGGCAGGAUAUAAUCACGUGCACGUUAAGAAAGGUGUUUCUUACUUAUACACCUACUCAAUUUACUAUACGAAUAACUGGCUAAAGGACCUCUUCUUUUCCAGAUAAUGUCAAAACUGAGUCACCAACUACUAGGUGUAUUAGUGAUAGUUGGACUCAAGGAUUUAAGUGAGUGUGGAUUACCGGAAGGAGGUGUAUAAGAGUCUAACUUCUAGUUGACGGGACAAUAAAACUAAGCGUUGGAACUAGGAAGAUUAUCAAAUACGUUACCAUGUUCCGAAUAGUAAUUCCGUAAAGUUCUCUUGUGAUAACUACGUCUUUAAUAACCGCCUGUUAUACGACCCUUCGCUCACAAGGAAGGUGCUUAAGGAGAAAUAGGAAGUUUCCUACUACAAGAGGGGAAGUUCAAAUUUUCUUUCGUUAAAGGUUAAGCCGAAUCAAAACGGUACUGUUAGUUGUUUCGGGUCCCAGUUUGGUAGGGUUUACAACCGUAGAUAGAAGGACUCGACCACAAGAGAGUACCGGUUGAGAUACAGCGAGACAGAUCUCCCUAUAGUUCUGUUUGUUGAUAUCAUGAACGUUUUGGUUUAUUCCUAUAACUGGGUAGUCCCUUUUCGUGUUUUUUAUAACAGAUGUCCCUACAAAACCAUAUUAAGUACAUGUACGACACAUAACGGCACACUACAAAGAUUAUACCAACAUAAGGACAUUUAUCAUGAUGGGUCCUUUACAUUACAAUAUAUCCCAAAGUCAGUAAUCGAACAGGGACACUCUCAAUAAUACAUGGUUUUCUAUAUAAACGUCACCAUAAUAAGAUCGUAUAUGUUAUG